rnacentral:rRNA from 1 species
UACGUAGGUGGCAAGCGUUGUCCGGAUUUACUGGGCGUAAAGAGCGCGCAGGCGGUCGUUCAAGUCGCGUGUGAAAGCCCCCGGCUCAACUGGGGAGGGUCACGCGAUACUGAUCGACUCGAAGGCAGGAGAGGGUAGUGGAAUUCCCGGUGUAGUGGUGAAAUGCGUAGAUAUCAGGAGGAACACCGGUGGCGAAGGCGGAUCUCUGGGCCAUUACUGACGCUGAGGAGCGAAAGCGUGGGGAGCGAACAGG